rnacentral:lncRNA from 10 species
CAAGCCAGAAUACCCAUCUCCUGUCUCAGAAAUGAUGAGAAAUAAUAAAUAUAUGUGCUCACACAUAUUACCAUCUAAUUUUCUACAUUAUAUUAGAACAGUUCCAUCAUCAAAGAAACUUCUAUUGAACAGUGCUAUUAUAUAAUGUCCUUGAGGUCAGGAGUUCAAGACCAGCCUGGCCGACAUGGUGAAACCCCGUCUCUAGUAAAAAUACAAAAAAUUAGCUAGGCGUGGUGGUGCAUGCCUGUAACCCCAGCUACUCAGGAGGCUGAGUUGGGAGAAUCACUGGAACCCAGGAGGCAGAAGUUGUAGUGAGCCAAGAUUGUGCCACUGCACUCUAGCCUGGGUGACAGAGCAAGACUCCAUCUCAAAAAAAAAGAAAAAAGAAAA